ensembl:snoRNA
UGGAUCAAUGAUGAUUUCCGGUCAUCAUUAUGAGUGGUAUAUGGUGACUAUACCAAUAUAUUCUGGAACUCUGGAACUCUGAGGAACUCUGAGGUCCAA